rnacentral:rRNA from 1 species
GACGAACGCUGGCGGCGUGCCUAAUACAUGCAAGUAGAACGCUGAAGGAGGAGCUUGCUUCUCUGGAUGAGUUGCGAACGGGUGAGUAACGCGUAGGUAACCUGCCUGGUAGCGGGGGAUAACUAUUGGAAACGAUAGCUAAUACCGCAUAAGAGUAGAUGCUGCAUGACAUUUGCUUAAAAGGUGCAAUUGCAUCACUACCAGAUGGACCUGCGUUGUAUUAGCUAGUUGGUGGGGUAACGGCUUACCAAGGCGACGAUACAUAGCCGACCUGAGAGGGUGAUCGGCCACACUGGGACUGAGACACGGCCCAGACUCCUACGGGAGGCAGCAGUAGGGAAUCUUCGGCAAUGGACGGAAGUCUGACCGAGCAACGCCGCGUGAGUGAAGAAGGUUUUCGGAUCGUAAAGCUCUGUUGUAAGAGAAGAACGAGUGUGAGAGUGGAAAGUUCACACUGUGACGGUAUCUUACCAGAAAGGGACGGCUAACUACGUG